AGAAUCAACGCUGGCGGCGUGCCUAACACAUGCAAGUCGCACGAGAAAGUGGAGCAAUCCAUGAGUACAGUGGCGCACGGGUGAGUAACACGUGAAUCAUCUACCUCCGAGUGGGGAAUAACCUAGAGAAAUCUGGGCUAAUACCGCAUAACACUUACGAGUCAAAGCAGCAAUGCGCUUGGAGAGGAGUUCGCGGCCGAUUAGCUAGUUGGCGGGUAAUGGCCCACCAAGGCGAUGAUCGGUA
rnacentral:rRNA from 1 species